UAAACAAUCCACUCAAAACCAUAGUCAAACGCAGUUUUGAAUCAAGACAAAACCCAAAAUGACAAAAGUAUUGUUGAUUUUUGCUUUGUGCGUUGUUGGCACUUUGGCCGUAUCUAGUCCAAAAAUUGCCAGAAAUGCCUUUGAGUUGAUUCGCAUGCAACAGCAUUUAAAGUCGAUUGAUGGUGACCUUGCAGCUUGCGCCAAAAUUCUUGCAGGAACUGUUGCUAAUGCUCUUUUUGCAAACUAUUUAUCCUUAGUAGGGUGUACUGAAGAAUGUGCUGGAGAGUUAGUUGCCCUUCAAGAAGAAAUCACAAUUGUUGUCGAAGGUCUUGUUCAAGAUGUUGAAGAACAAAUUGCCGCUUUCCAAGCUUGUGGUGAUGAUCAAACAUGCAAAGCUAAUGUCGUAAAGGAGAUCGCUGAAAUUAUAAGUGCUAGUAUUAAGGACCUGAAAGAAAUUGUUAAUAAACAUUUAACCAUCUUAGAAGACAAAUUUCCAGAAGCUGCUGAGUGUGCUCGAGCUUCUUUCCAAACAUUUGCUGAAACAUUGCAGGCAGCAGAAGAAGAUUUUGUGACUUGUCUUAAAAAUUAAAUGCAAUAAACUCAAAUUAUUUUGAUACUUAAAUCAA